rnacentral:rRNA from 1 species
GUGAGUAGUUCAGAGUUUGAUCCUGGCUCAGGACGAACGCUGGCGGCGUGCCUAACACAUGCAAGUCGAACGGGGUAAUUUCUUCGGAGAUUACUUAGUGGCGAACGGGUGAGUAACGCGUGAGAAACCUGCCUUUCAGUGGGGGACAACAGUUGGAAACGACUGCUAAUACCGCAUAACACUUUAGUACCGCAUGGUACAGAAGUCAAAGCUUAAUGUGCUGAAAGAUGGUCUCGCGUCUGAUUAGCUAGAUGGCGGGGUAACGGCCCACCAUGGCGACGAUCAGUAGCCGGUCUGAGAGGAUGAACGGCCACAUUGGGACUGAGAUACGGCCCAG